rnacentral:rRNA from 1 species
AACGUAGGAGGCGAGCGUUAUCCGGAUUCACUGGGCGUAAAGCGCGCGUAGGCGGUUGGUUAAGUCGGACGUUAAAGCCCCUGGCUCAACUGGGGGAGGUCGUUCGAUACUGGUCGGCUUGAGGAUGAGAGGGGAGAGUGGAAUUCCCGGUGUAGCGGUGGAAUGCGUAGAGAUCGGGAGGAACACCAGUGGCGAAGGCGGCUCUCUGGCUCAUUCCUGACGCUGAGAGCGCGACAGCGUGGGGA